GACGAACGCUGGCGGCGUGCUUAACACAUGCAAGUCGAGCGGUAAGGCCCUUUCGGGGGUACGACGAGCGGCGAACGGGUGAGUAACACGUGGGUGACCUGCCCUCCAGCUCUGGGAUAAGCCUGGGAAACCGGGGUCUAAUACCGGAUAUGACUCCAUGACGCAUGUUGUGGGGUGGAAAGCCUUGUGCGGCUGAGGAUGGGCCCGCGGCCUAUCAGCUUGUUGGUGGGGUGGAUGGCCUACCAAGGCGACGACGGGUAGCCGGCCUGAGAGGGCGACCGGCCACACUGGGACUGAGACACGGCCCAGACUCCUACGGGAGGCAGCAGUGGGGAAUCUUGCGCAAUGGGCGAAAGCCUGACGCAGCGACGCCGCGUGAGGGAUGACGGCCUGG
rnacentral:rRNA from 1 species